rnacentral:rRNA from 1 species
ACUGGGAUUGCCCUAGUAACGGCGAGUGAAGCGGCAACAGCUCAAAUUUGAAAUCUGGCGCCUGCGCCCGAGUUGUAAUUUGCAGAGGAUGCUUCCUGCGCGGUGCCUUCCGAGUUCCCUGGAACGGGACGCCAAAGAGGGUGAGAGCCCCGUACGGUCGGCAACCAAGCUAUUGUGUGGCACCUUCGACGAGUCGAGUAGUUUGGGAAUGCUGCUCUAAAUGGGAGGUAAACUCCUUCUAAAGCUAAAUAUUGGCCAGAGACCGAUAGCGCACAAGUAGAGUGAUCGAAAGAUGAAAAGCACUUUGAAAAGAGAGUCAAACAGCACGUGAAAUUGUUGAAAGGGAAGCGCUUGUGACCAGACUUGGGCCUGGUAGUUCAGCCGUCCUUCUGGGCGGUGCACUCUGCCGGUUCAGGCCAGCAUCAGUUGUCGGUUGGGGAGAAAGACGACGGGAAUGUGGCUCUUCGGAGUGUUAUAGCCCGGCGUUAUGCCCUCCCGGCGACUGAGGACUGCGCAUCUGCACGGAUGCUGGCGUAAUGGUCAUCAGCGACCCGUCUUGAAACACGGACCAAGGAGUCAUCCUGGCAUGCGAGUGUUUGGGUGUUAAACCCCUACGCGAAAUGAAAGUGAACGGAGGUGAGAGCUUCGGCGCAUCAUCGACCGAUCCUGAUGUUCUCGGAUGGAUUUGAGUAAGAGCAUGUCGGGCUGGACCCGAAAGAAGGUGAACUAUGCUUGGAUAGGGCAAAGCCAGAGGAAACUCUGGUGGAGGCUCGCAGCGGUUCUGACGUGCAAAUCGAUCGUCAAAUCUAAGCAUGGGGGCGAAAGACUAAUCGAACCUUCUAGUAGCUGGUUUCCGCCGAAGUUUCCCUCAGGAUAGCAGUGCUGAUCUCAGUUUUAUGAGGUAAAGCGAAUGAUUAGGGACUCGGGGGCGCUAUUUAGCCUUCAUCCAUUCUCAAACUUUAAAUAUGUAAGAAGCCUUUGUUGCUUAAGUGAACGAAGGC